UUCUUUUAAAAAAUAUAUUUUGACAGAUAAGAAAUUCAGUGGCAAAGGAUGAUAAAAUACUGACCAAAAUAGUUAGCCAACUUCUAUGUAUUUAUUCCAUAUACUGUGAUUAAAAUAUGAACCCCCUCAUAACCAGUUAAGCCCACCGAUAGAUACCUGCUGCCUAAUCUUGCAAUCCUUAUUCAGGCAGCACCCCCUGAAGGUUAAAAAUCCAAAUGCCUGAAAACCAAAUCCUACCCUCAUUGCACCUGUGGGACUGUCACUGAAGUCAGUGGAGGCUUUGUAUAACUGCUAAUGUCAGGAAAUGGCCUUCAAAGCAAGAUUUGCAAAGAAUGGGAAACUUAUGAGCUGGGGAAAAUCUUGCUGCAGUUAAAGUUAUAAUAGGACAUAUAGUCCACUCAUGCUAAACUCAUGAAGACUGAAUUUCCCCCCACAUAAUCUUAUGAACAUGUUAUGGGCAUAAAAACUGCACACAGGUCUGAUUCUUCUAAUAAGGUCUGUGUUGGAAAACUCCAGUCCACACGCAAACUGGUCAUCUUUUUCUCAAUCGCUUGCUUUCUUUUUGGCCCAUUGGGAGUUCUCUUGUGUUCAGAGGGAGCUCCUUGAUCUGACUCCUUUUUUCUUCUUAGCUGCUGCUGUUUUCUUGGGGAGAAGUUUCUUCUUGGCUCUGGUUAGCUGGGAACCUUUUUUCUCCUUAGCUGCUGCUGUUUUCUUGGGGAGACGUUUCUUCUUGGCUCUGGUUAGCUGGGAACCUUUCCUGUCUGGCAAAGAUGUCACACGUGAUGUUUUGGAUACCUUCGGAGCCUUUGUCUUCUCUUCUGCUGGAUCCAGUUUAGUCUUGGAUCCUUUGGCCUGCCUCUUCUUGUCAGACACAGUUGNCCAGACACCGUUGGCUUCACUGCUGACAGUUUGGUGGAGCUUUUUGGGGAAGCUGGCUUCUUGGCUUUUUUGGAAGAAGUUGUUGGGGUGGCUCCUGUGGAGAUGGAGGAUGUGUUGGGUGGCUUUGUUGUUGUGGGCUCAUUAAGCAGUUCAAGGACAGUCUCUGUGAAAAAUAAUUAAAAUGCUUCAGCAUUCCUGGUUGAAGGCAAAAGACUAACUCAGACAUAUCCCUGAGAAAGAGCCUAAGCAGGCAGACAAGAAACAUAUUUGCCUUUCAAAAGAGAUUAAAAAAUGUGAUGCUUGAACACUGCCUCACUUUUCUCAUUUUGAAUCCGCUUCUUCCAUUAAAUAUGAACCCUGGCUGCUUCUUGUAGGGUUGCUAAGAAUAAGUUUGUUUUCUCUUAGAAUAAAAU
rnacentral:lncRNA from 1 species